GGGCAUUUUCAGGGGUAGUUUCAUGACCCUGGUGGUAGUCUGACCCUUCCUCUGUACCGUGAACCUCAAGAAACAUAUUUUAAAUUAUAUCGUUGCCCAAGUUCACACAUUUGGCAAGGCUUUCAUAGGAGUUGUGGGCAUUUUCAGGGGUAGUUUUAUGACCCUGGUGGUAGUCUGACCCUUCCUCUGUACCGUGAACCUCAAGAAACAUAUUUUAAAUCAUAUCGUCGCCCAAGUUCACACAUUUGGCAAGGCUUUCAUAGGAGUUGUGGGCAUUUUCAGGGGUAGUUUCAUGACCCUGGUGGUAGUCUGACCCUUCCUCUGUACCGUGAACCUCAAGAAACAUAUUUUAAAUCAUAUCGUUGCCCAAGUUCACACAUUUGACAAGGCUUUCAUAGGAGUUGUGGGCAUUUCCAGAUGUAGUUUUAUGACCCUGGUGGUAGUCUGACCCUUCCUCUGUACC